GUCUGUGUGGUGCAGUGGGUUAGCGCGUUCGGCUGUUAAUGGGAAGGUUGGUGGUUCGAGCCCACCCAAGGACG